ACUCCAGUGACCUAGUGGUUAGAGCGUCUGCCUGGGAUGUGGGAGGUUGUGGGUUUGAUCCCCAGUCGAGUC